rnacentral:lncRNA from 1 species
CUCCGACACGAUCGACAACGUCAAGGCCAAGAUACAGGACAAGGAGGGCAUCCCUCCCGACCAGCAGCGCCUCAUCUUCGCCGGCAAGCAGCUCGAGGACGGCAGGACCCUCGCCGACUACAACAUCCAGAAGGAGUCGACGCUCCACCUCGUGCUCAGGCUCCGCGGAGGCAUGCAGAUCUUCGUGAAGACCCUGACUGGCAAGACGAUCACGCUCGAGGUGGAGAGCUCCGACACCAUCGACAACGUCAAGGCCAAGAUACAGGACAAGGAAGGCAUCCCUCCCGACCAGCAGCGUCUGAUCUUCGCCGGCAAGCAGCUCGAGGACGGCCGCACCCUCGCCGAUUACAACAUUCAGAAGGAGUCGACGCUCCAUCUCGUCCUGAGGCUUCGCGGGGGUAUGCAGAUCUUCGUCAAGACUCUGACCGGGAAGACCAUCACGCUCGAGGUGGAGAGCUCGGACACGAUCGAUAACGUGAAGGCCAAAAUCCAGGACAAGGAGGGCAUCCCACCGGAUCAGCAGCGGCUCAUCUUCGCCGGGAAGCAGCUGGAGGACGGUCGCACGCUCGCCGAUUACAAUAUCCAGAAAGAGUCGACCCUUCAUCUCGUGCUGCGCUUGAGGGGAGGUAUGCAGAUCUUCGUGAAGACCCUGACCGGGAAGACGAUCACGCUGGAGGUGGAGAGCUCGGACACGAUCGACAACGUGAAGGCGAAAAUUCAGGACAAGGAGGGGAUUCCACCGGAUCAGCAGCGCCUCAUCUUCGCCGGGAAGCAGCUGGAGGACGGUCGCACCCUCGCCGAUUACAAUAUCCAGAAGGAGUCGACCCUGCACCUCGUCCUCCGCCUCCGCGGUGGCUAUUUCUGAAGAGACGGGCAUCUGGAAGUCCUCGCAGUCGGCAUGUGAUUUCGUCUGGUUUCAUGGUGCUUGAAAGUGGCCAUUUUUCAGUAGUAUAUGUUCGUUCUGGUGUAGCUUCUCUCUUAUGUGAACCAUGAAUGAAUGAACCUUAAUAAUAAGUAAUACAACUUUAUUUUCUCCCGCUCGUGCCUCUUGCAUGUGGACCACAUGACUUGAUGAUUGGUUUUUUCCG